GUGAGGAAUAUUGCGCAAUGGAGGCAACUCUGACGCAGCCAUGCCGCGUGCAGGAAGAAGGCGCUACGCGUUGUAAACUGCUUUUAACCGGGAAGAAACCCCAGGACGUGUCCUGGGUUGACGGUACCGGAGGAAUAAGCACCGGCUAACUUCGUGCCAGCAGCCGCGGUAAUACGAAGGGUGCAAGCGUUAUCCGGAUUCAUUGGGUUUAAAGGGUGCGUAGGCGGAGCGUUAAGUCAGUGGUGAAAUCCUGCAGCUUAACUGUAGACUUGCCAUUGAUACUGGCGCUCUUGAGUGCGCUUGAAGUGGGCGGAAUGUGCCGUGUAGCGGUGAAAUGCUUAGAUAUGGCACAGAAAACCAAUUGCGAAGGCAGCUCACUAAGGCGAUACUGACGCUGAGGCACGAAAGCGUGGGGAUCGAACAGGAUUAGAAACCCGUGUAGUCC
rnacentral:rRNA from 1 species